AGUCGAACGAGAGAUGAGGAGCUUGCUCUUCAAAUCGAGUGGCGAACGGGUGAGUAACGCGUGAGGAACCUGCCUCAAAGAGGGGGACAACAGUUGGAAACGACUGCUAAUACCGCAUAAGCCCACAGCUCGGCAUCGAGCAGAGGGAAAAGGAGUGAUCCGCUUUGAGAUGGCCUCGCGUCCGAUUAGCUAGUUGGUGAGGUAACGGCCCACCAAGGCGACGAUCGGUAGCCGGACUGAGAGGUUGAACGGCCACAUUGGGACUGAGACACGGCCCAGACUCCUACGGGAGGCAGCAGUGGGGAAUAUUGCACAAUGGGGGAAACCCUGAUGCAGCGACGCCGCGUGGAGGAAGAAGGUCUUCGGAUUGUAAACUCCUGUUGUUGAGGAAGAUAAUGACGGUACUCAACAAGGAAGUGACGGCUAACUACGUGCCAGCAGCCGCGGUAAAACGUAGGUCACAAGCGUUGUCCGGAAUUACUGGGUGUAAAGGGAGCGCAGGCGGGAGAACAAGUUGGAAGUGAAAUCCAUGGGCUCAACCCAUGAACUGCUUUCAAAACUGUUUUUCUUGAGUAGUGCAGAGGUAGGCGGAAUUCCCGGUGUAGCGGUGGAAUGCGUAGAUAUCGGGAAGAACACCAGUGGCGAAGGCGGCCUACUGGGCACCAACUGACGCUGAGGCUCGAAAGUGUGGGUAGCAAACAGGAUUAGAUACCCUGGUAGUCCACACCGUAAA
rnacentral:rRNA from 1 species